GAUUUCAAUUGAAAAAGUCAUCAACAACAAAGUUGAAUAACUCAUCAAGAUCUAAAACUUUUAUUUUUGUUAUUUCUUCAUCUGACGAAAUGUUAGUAAUAUUAUUCACAAAUUUUAUAUAUAUGUGUUAUAGUUUAUAAAACCAGAUAAGAGAUAUGUCAAUUUUGUGAACAAUGUUACUAUCACUUUGUCGUAUGAAGAAAUGACCAAAACAAAAGUUUUAGAUCUUGAUGAGUUAUUCAACUUUGUUGUUGAUGACUUUUUCAGUUGAUAUC
rnacentral:pre_miRNA from 1 species